rnacentral:rRNA from 1 species
UACGUAGGGGGCAAGCGUUGUCCGGAAUCAUUGGGCGUAAAGCGCGUGUAGGCGGCUCAGUAAGUCCGCUCUGAAAGUCCAGGGCUCAACCCUGGAAGGCCGGUGGAAACUGUCGGGCUAGAAUCCGGAAGAGGCGAGUGGAAUUCCCGGUGUAGCGGUGAAAUGCGCAGAUAUCGGGAGGAACACCAAUGGCGAAGGCAGCUCGCUGGGACGGUAUUGACGCUGAGACGCGAAAGCGUGGGGAGCAAACAGG